UUAUUCUCUUCAGGAAAUGUCCUUAAAAUGCUGCUCCUGCACUCCUAAAUUAAGAGCAGGCUGUGGAAGCCAUGUUUUCUAUUCUACUGCAGUUUGUAUGCUCCUUUUCCUUCCCUUUUUUAAAAAAGAGAAUCAGUUCUCCAGACAGAGCCUGAACAUCUAUUCACUAAGUGACAGCACUUCAAAGUAUUUCUGGGUAGACUUGGGAAGCUUACAUUUUAAGUUUUCCUCUUAUUACUGGAUAAAAAGCACUUGUCAAUGAUUUCCAUGUUGUGAGCAUUUUUCCCUUUUUCCCCCAGUGUUUAAACUGUCUCCCAAUAGAUCUGUGUAUGGCAGAGAAAGGAUCCCAAUGACAUUUCCUACAACUAGAAAUGAAGGUUUUAAUUCAGCUUUCACAAGAUAUGAUUUCAGCAUUCAGGUACUUCCACAUACAAGAUACCACAAAGAUAUGAAUUUGGUCUUCAUGGACACAUCCCACAGUGUAAGCCUCUGACAAUGCCAGUUUGGAUCGUAAAUGUAAUGGAAGUUGGACUUUUACUGAAAGUAGAGGAUAGCACUUCAUAAAAACCUGAGAACGUGGAAGCAUGCAUGCCUGUCAGCUGACCAUGCUCUUAUCCGUUCUGUAACAUGAAAGAAAUGCUCUGGCAGUGCUGCUUAUCAAGAGAUACCUAAAGACAAGGCAAAGGGCAUACAGAUUUUCCAGAGUGAUCUCCAAGUUGUAAUGGACAACCUCUUUCCUGCCAGCAGAGCCCAGAGAGGAAUAAACCAAGACCACCAGCUAAAUCACUGCAUAAUGUGCUAUGGAUAUGAGCACUGAAUGCCCUCAGUGGCAAUGACUCAGGACCAAGUCGUCCUUUUGUGGGAAAUACCUGCAAAGGAAACUGGGAACUCCACAGCAUUUGUGUCAUCCUUCUCUUCAGAUGGUGCCUCCAAAUCUCUUCUGAAAUGGUCUAUGCAGAGCAGACACAGAGUGUCUAUCACUCAGGCCUGUGGUGGCAACAUUCAACUCCGGGACAGACAACACGAAACCAGAAAUAAGAACUUGCAAACGUGGCUGAAAAUGCCCAGAGUCGUGUAUCUUACAGCCAGAGAGAAACAGAUGAUAUCCAGCAGCUUAGGCAGGAGAGAGCCCAUGAGUGAUGGAAUAACCAGAUCUCUGCAUCCAUUCCAUGAAAAACAGAUCCUUUCUUCUGGAUUCCCCAGGAUUCUCCCAGCAACCAGCCUUGUUUACAGAAGUCAGCAGGAAUAGUUACAGCUCUUCACAGAUGAGCCAUGGAGGAACCUUUUGGGAAGGCGCCUCACAGUGCUUUGUCAUCUGCUGACAAACUGGUGCCAGGACCAGAACUUCAUAAUAAAGUCUUCAGAGAAAAUUCUGCAGCAGAUCAAGGAAUCUCGAAGCGCUCUGACAAAGGGGAGGAAACCCCUCGCUGUGGGAUGGCAGCCGCGGGUCAGAGGCGUGUAAGCAGCCGUUACCGCCAUCCAGAGGAGAGCGUCAGCCGUCAGAUUUCAUUUGGUGGCGUGGAAAGGAGAACCCAACCGGUUGGUCUGGUUCGUGCUGAGGCAUCCCAGAGCAGGAAAACAACGUAGGUGUGCCACCGUGUCCCGACAGCAGGGACGGGAGGCCGGGGGGGAUGAAGGGGGAGUUAAAUUUUUUUCCCCGCCGGAUUAAUCGCGCCGUCCGCUUCCCCUCGUGCAAAACGCAACCCAGGGGCGGGCGGCAGCGCCCUCUGCUGGGCGCGUGGAAGGCCAGCAGAGCGGAGAAAGCGGGGGGAGCUGCGCUGCCGGUCGGCUCGUGCUGUGCGAGCGGGAGGUGGGAAUCCCUUCGCAGCCCGGGUUUCUGUGUUUUACAGAUCCAAAAUGACAACCGGCUUCAUACGGCCUGUUUUUUAAACAUGAAAUCCAAACAAAAGCAAUCUUUUGCUAGAGAUCUGCGUUAGAAGCUGGCAGGAGCACUACUGAGAUGUAAAGUGUGUGGGCCAGUACUCAAAAGAGUGGAUAUAGUUUUCCACCACAUCUGUCCGAACAAAUCAGUGCAAACUUUGAGCAAGUUUGGCAAGAAGCAUCCUGGUUUUGUUUUUACAGCCUUAAGAAGGAAGGGGAAAACUCCCCUGUGUAUUGGGUAUCCCUUGAAAUGGGUAAAAUGUGCUAAAAUGUGUUUAUGUGCUUUAAGACAAUCAUAAAUCAGGACAACUCUUUGAAGACAAUUUAAAGUAAUAAUUUCAUGACCGUUCCUGAAAUUUCCUACUCCAUAUAGCUGCUGAAAUGGGCAAGGGCCAACACAAACAGCCAGCGUUGGGUGCUGCCAGAUGAAAUCAUCACCCCUGCUGGCUCCCCGUAGCACAGCCUUGGUCAGCAAACCGGUGACUCCUCCUGCCAGCUCCGAGGAUGACAGUGAAAUUAAAUUCUUCUGAAUGCAACGCUUAUUCAAGGCAGGAAAUCACUUUCUUUUGGGUGCACGUUACUGGGUCAUUCUCAGCCAGUUUCCAGAACUGAGAAAGGCUCUGGUUGCAGGAGAGAUGAUGUGAUUAUGAUGGGCAAGAAGCAGAACAGGACAAGUUCCAGCAAAAACUCUGUAGAAGGCAGUAGUGAAUACUAUUCUCGAUGUAGAGCUUUAAUAGGUGGUUCAAAAAAAAGUACACCGAGAUUAAUUUCUAAAUACAUUAAGCUCAUGCAGCAGUUUUUAAUAGAAUCCUAUUCAAAUUCUGGGAUUUUCUAUAAAAAUGCUGGUUUGUGUCCUGCCCAGAGACCACUUCUGUGGAAGUAUCUCUGUGAAUGAUGAUGUGAAAAGGAGAUGCAGAGAAGUAAAGGUCAAAGUAUGAAAGCACACCUUGCUCUCUUUCUCUCCCACAUCUAUUAUUUGACCUUACUGUUGGUGGAAGCUGGCAGAGGGGUUGAUGACAAGUUGCCACGAGAUGAGGAGGGCACGGGCUGCUUGAUAGCACUUUGAGAACUAUCUCCUGCUGGGGAACUGCACUGAAGCUGGUUGAGAUUCCUCUUUGUCAAGACAGGCCAAACUUCAGAGUGCUGUCAGAUCUGUUAGUAUGAUACCAAGAUCUUUCUGGGAAUUUAUGAAACUCUCCCUUUGGAUUUACUUAUCCCUUCAGCAGGCGCGUAUUAUAGAUUAGCCAUUUUAAGUCAACCGACCUCAGUCCCCUUCGAUGACAGAUAAACUCAGGCUUAAAGUGAGAGGAUCCCUCAUGUCACUGGUUUCAACUAGAGGAUACGAGUGUGCUAUGAGAAUACUCAAUAUGGGAAACGUGAUGCAAAACACAGACAACCAGUUGGAGCAGUGCUUCAGACUAAGCUGAGUGUUCCAGAUAAGGCUGAGUGAACUGGAUGAAUGGAUGGACAGCAUCCUCAGCAAGUUCUGUGAUGACACAAAUCUUAGGAGUGCAAAAGCUAUCCCAGUAAGUAAAAUCCUUUGGUUACUCUGUGAUUCACAGCUGAUUUGUUUACAAAACCAGGUAGUUCAGUUUUCUUUUUUUAUGGGUUAAGAGCCCAUUCCUGCAGGGGCUGUGUCUGUUAGCCCCAUGACAAGAGGAGUCUUUAGAGACCUCUGCAGACCUGGAGGGGCUGCUUUGCUUCAUCCCCACUGACCCAUCCUAUCUGCCGCUAAGUUCUGCCUCCUCUUUUCUGCAGACCUUGGGUCAGAAGAAUUCCAGUGCUAGGAAAGCAAUUGUGAGGACUUCUGUGGCAAAGAGGUGCUUUAAAGAAGUAAACUUUGGAAACACAGCUGAUUCUUACUAGUUUAGUCCCAGUCAAUGGCAUUAGAAGGGAUUUGAUUGGGAUGAGUGCUGAGAGUCCUUCUGCUGUGCUGUGUCAGCUACCCCACCAGAAACAAACAUGGGACAUUUCAUUUAAACUGAGAAGUUGAUAGCAUUGAACACAUCUAUUUGUAUAAACUAGCUGGCUAUCCCCGUGCCAUCUCUAAUGUAAAUCUACUAAGGUAUUGUGAAACUUCAUUCAUUUUAAGCUUGCAGUACUUACUAGUGCAUAUACAAAAAGAGUCCUUUCUAACUUCCAUACCAUUUUUCUACUGAGUUAUUUGUUGGAAAGAUAUGUUCCUGUAUAAUUACAUGUGGUUUUCUUAAACCUUUGCAGUUGGUAGCUUAAUAUAUAUUUUGUUGUACUUUGAGUACAAAGGAUAUAUUAUGCUUUUGUUGGCAUCCUUACUAGUCAGUGUGCCAACUGCAUAAUUUUGUUCUCUGCUAUAUGUCAGGAUUCGAGUGCCGAGGGCUCAACAGGUGGUGCUGGGAUAAAGUUCUGGCAAAUCAAAUAGGUAACGCAGUUAUUUCUUUUGUCAAAUUAUAAUUGAAAACAGAGGCGAGUAAAAUGAAACCCAUGUUUUCCUGGUGCAAAACAGGGUUUAGAAUUAAAUUCAAAUCAGUUCGCAUGACUAGUACACAUUACUACCGGAGCUUGGUCUGUAAAUAAACAUGCAACACCUUAGUUUUGAUGUUGAAUGAUUCAUUCUUUGCAAAUUUAAACCUUAAGCGUCAGCAUUUAAACAAUAACAGAGGGCAUGAGUCCUCCAUUACUCUUUUGUCUUUGUCAUAUAUAUCUUGCAGAAAAUGUGCCAAGAACUUCAGGAAAACUUUGAAAAGAUUUAAAUCUAAAAAGUCAGAGAAUUUGAGACAGUCUGUGAUACAUAACUCAAAUGUUUAGCAUCAAGAGUUUCCUGCCAUAUUGUUUUCUAAUCAUUGCUCUAACUGCGAUCCCAGCAGAAAAUGGAAUAAAUACACUGGAAAUCCCAGUGAAUGCGCUGAAUGAGGUGCUGCUUUUUUUAUACUUGCUUUGGAUGAUGUUUAUUAAUCCUAAAACUGUACUCAUGGGUUAAAACCCAUUCUGCAACAAAAAUACAACAAAUCGUGGAGGCAUAGUUUGGUUUUCCAAAAUUGCAUAUCUAUGCACUUGGAAGCCUUUUCACUUUGUUAUUGUAGCUGAUGUUUUUACAGUGAGAUCUUUUUAUUUUCCUCUGAGGACCUCUCUAAAUGUAAUAUAUAUAAUCUUAUCUACAGCUCCUACAAACAUCAUGGUUUUAGUUAGUCUUCUGUUUCUCCUCACUCAAAGGGAUUUCUUCUGAGCUGUAGUUUUCUGACUUUGAGUUUUGUUUCAACAUAGCUGAACCCAUCAUGUACCAAAGUGGCUUCCAGCAGUGACUUCCAGUUCCUCAUAUUGGUCACAAACAUCUUUAUGAUACUUUUAGGCUCUUAUUUUACAGGUUUUGCCUUUGUACGUGACCAGGUGAUGCAUCCUCUUCUGCCACUUAAUAAAGUCAUUCCGUAAGUGAUUGUCAACCAAUCAGCAUAGAAAUGGGUAUCAUAUUCAACUUAAUUACUUUUAUGUUUUAUUUACUGUUGUUUAGUCCAAGCAGACUAAAAUAGCUUCCUCUUCUAUAGCAGUAGAAGGAGACUGCAGGACAGCAGAUCACAAGGGGAGAAACUGACAUGUUUGGAGGCUGUGUGAGGAAUUUUUCUGGUGUUAAAGGAGAUCUGUGAGACUUUGCAGAAAGCUGAGCAUGAGCGCAGGGAAUGUUUUGGGGAGGGGAUAAUGCACAGCCAACCAGACACAGGUAAUCAUAUCAGGUUACCAUACGUAUCUGCACAAGGUUGAGAUCCCCUUGCAAUCGGAGAGAUGGUUGUAGGUGAGAAAGUAAUUCUGGUGCUCUGGUUAUUUUUUUAUUUAUAUAUUUCUUUAUUUAUAAAAUAACCAUGUUGAAUAUUUAUCUUAAACCUCAGAUAACUGUUUAGAAAAGAAAUAGCUGAGAAGCUGAUAAUGUACCCCUUUCAUUGACAAAAGAUUUAUGCCUUGCCUGGCUGGACUUCCCAAUGGUCAAACACAAGCAGCACGUAGCCAGUGUUUAACCAGGGGAACUGAGACUGCUGCUCCUACACUUUUUUGUGUGAAAAUAACUCAGCCACGUUGAAACUGGCAAAGAUUGGAAAACAUGGUAAAAUUGCUAUCAAAAAAAGGAGGAAAGCGGCUCGUAAGCAGUUUGUGCAAAAAUAUGUAUGCAUGAACGUUUCUGCUGACCUUCCUUAGGAGCCAUCUGUCUGCUUGUAGGGCACCCUGCCCCUCUGGGGAGCAGGUGAAGAGCUAAUAUUAGUUGUGAAAUGAGAAUCUGCACUAAGAAACAAGCUCCUGGAAUUAAAAGUUGCAUUAUUUCAUGCCGUUCUAUUGCAGGAAAAAUGGCAGAUUCUUCAGUGGCACUCACGAGUGGAGUAAUAGCAAUUAUUAUUUUUUUAGAUUUUUAAUAGUGCUAAAAAUCUGAACAGAAUCUGGCCUUUGCUCUUUCAUGUACAGCAUUUGAUUAACCGUGAUUUCAAAAUGUAAUAUUGGUUUUAUAUUUAUCUCCUAGAAACUGAUCUUCCUGUUUUGUUUUUUUUUAAAUACUUCUUUUCUGCAUAGUUGUUUGCCAUGACUUUCAGUGAGGGUGCAAAAUGAAACACAGACACUUGGAAGCAGGGAAUGGUGGGGGCAGGGUAAGUAUGUGAAAACCUGUGUGAAGUGGUGUCAGUACAUACAUGUGUCUCACUCCCAAGCCAGGAAUGAGAUUUCCAGUUGUUUUUGGGUUCAUGUACAAAAAGGCAUGAUUUCCACUGCUAACAACAUCUGAGUUAUUUAAAAAAAUGUGAGAUAAAAGCAAAUAGUUCGGGACAGGAGAAGGAUAGAUAUCAUUUCUCCUCUCUACCGUUCCUCUCGUGGGCUCAGAAAUGUAUACUUAUUUGUAGUUAUAUUUUCAUCUCUGGGUGAUGUACAAUGUUUUAGCUAUUUAGAUCCCUUUUUCCAUCAGUGUAAGCUCAACUACUCAUGCUCAGCAUGUGGGUGUUACCCUACUUUUGUCACUGUCUGUGUGCAGUUCAGUUUACCUGCUCUUCUUUGUCAGGUGACUGAACCCUGGCAGGGCUGGGUGUACCCACAGUAUCACCUGCUAUACCUGCCCAGCUUAGUGCUUUUGUUUAUUUAUUUAUUUAUUCUUACAAUGGCAGCUGCACUCACAGGAGCAGAGCUGGCAGGGACUGCUAGGUUCAGCCACCCAGGUUUGUGUUUCUGUGAGUGAUUGGGAGUCCUGCUCUGCAAUUGCACCUGCUGUGUUUUUUCCCAGACCCAGCUCUUCAGUCUCAUCUCUGUGCCAUCCCAUCACCAUACUUACGGUUUCCCAUUUUCUGCCUUGUGUAUCUUGUAUGAAUGCUUUUUGAAUGCUCAUUUUACUUGUCCACCUUAUUUUCCUCUCCAUAGUUCCAUCUUUAUUUAUUCUCAAUACAUCAUAUACUUAAUUUACACAAAUUCCUGUGUGAGAACUGUUAAUAAAACAUAUUAUAAGGCGCAACUGUAAAAUAUAAUUACAAUAUAUAUAGAAACUAUACAUCACGAUAUGAUAAUUAUAAAUGGCAUAUUCAUAGAAAUGACUGUAAAUAAAAAUAAGUUGGCAUGUAUAAUUUUCACAGCCAAUGGUCUGGGCAAUUCCUUCCUCCUUCCUCCCUCCUUCCCUCCUUC